ensembl:lncRNA novel transcript
AUCUUCGGCAGCCGCCUGGGAAAGCACAUCUUUUUAUUGUUCUAAUCGUUAACAGAUAAGGAAAGUGCCACAGGCACUGAGACGGGGUCUUGCCACACUGUCCCAGCUGGUCUCUAACUUCUGGGCUCGAGCAAUCCUCCCACCUUGGCCCCACAAAGUGCAAAGAUUACAGACGUGAGCCACUGCACCUGGCCUAAUCCUUAAAACACAUCUGAGAGGUCCAUACCCCUGAACUUCUCAAAUAUUUCCAAUGCUCAUCACUGGGUCUUUUGCAUGGUCAAAAGGGUUGCAGGUGAUUCUUCUGUGUUGUAAAGUUGAAGAGCAGCUUAAUCCACACUUCCUUUUUGGUCUCACUUCUCCCCUUUGUUCCGGUCAAACCCUGACUGCUUCAAAAGGAAAACUGACUCUUGCAUCUUUGCUGGUACCUGUCACUGAAAGAGGAUU